UACGUAGGGGGCAAGCGUUGUCCGGAAUCAUUGGGCGUAAAGCGCGUGUAGGCGGCUUGGUAAGUCUGCUCUGAAAGCCCGGGGCUCAACCCCGGGAGGCGGGUGGAUACUGUCAAGCUCGAGUCCGGAAGAGGAGUGUGGAAUUCCUGGUGUAGCGGCGAAAUGCGCAGAUAUCAGGAGGAACACCAAUGGCGAAGGCAGCACUCUGGGACGUGACUGACGCUGAGACGCGAAAGCGUGGGGAGCAAACAGG
rnacentral:rRNA from 1 species